rnacentral:lncRNA from 12 species
AGGCCCAGAGCUGGGGGAGAGGGGCUGCUCCCACGGGAUGAUCCCACAGGAGGGGAGAAGGGAGCCCAGAAAUAGCAAGUGCAGUUGCAGAAGGCGCCGGUUGCCAUGGGAUCUUCACAACCAAAAAUGACGGGGCUCUGGCAGUGCAAGAAGGGGCCCUUUCAUGUGUUUCUAUGGGAAGUCAGCUCCUGGCCACAGCCUCCAGGGCUGGAGCCCUGCCCGGGCCAGGAAGGAUUUGGGGACACUGCUGCUGGGGCCUGUGAAACUCCCAGGAGACCCUUGCUUGGUCCAGGAGGUUUUUCCCAGGUGCAGCUCAGAGAUCACUCGGGACUGACACAGUACCUGUGCCUGGUAAAGGGGAGAUUCCCUGUUCCUCCUGCUGGGCCUGCUCCCAUCAGGAAUCCCCCAGUGUGGAGGAUUUUCCUGCUGCAGCUGAGGAAGCUCAGCCCCUUCACCCUGAAUCCCCAUGGGAUGAACAUCUGGAACAUCUCCAGCCACACACGGAGGAGGAAAAGCUGGGAGCUGGAAAAACUGGAUGUGGGGACAGGCACGGCCACCCCACGGAGCUCCAGAGCUCCAGAGGCAGCGGCUCCAUCCCGGGAAGGAUCGGGGGAGGACGGGGAUGCGCCGGGGAAGAGGAGAGAGAACCCGCGGGGAGCGGGGCUGUUUAUAACAGAACCACAGCCCUGGCUGCAGGAGAGGCUCGAGAAGGACGAGACGGGGAUUCCUCGGAGGUGAAAGCGGCUGGAAAACCCUGCCAGGAGCGCCUGGCGUGGUGGCGGGCCCCCCCCCCCCCCCCCCCCCCCCCCCCCCCCCCCCCCCCCCCCCCCCCCCCGUCACUGCCACUGUCAUUGUCACUGUCACUGCCGCUGUCAUUGUCACCUGCCAGGAGCGCCUGGCGGGGCUGUGACUGUCACUACCGCUGUCAUUGUCACUGUCACUGCCACUGUCAUUGUCACUGUCACCCCCGGCUCCGCUGCCGGUCCUGGAGCAGUGCUCCGGUUCACACACCACACCCGUGUGCUGCUGCUCCGGGACAGGGGACAGGCGUGGGAUGGAACUCUUUGUCCCCUCUAGAGAAACACGGAAAAGGCAGCUGACCCCAGCCCCGACCCCAACCCCAUAAAUCCCCCCAAAUCCAAGCAAACCCCUCCCCACAAGCAUCGGUUCCACAGGAACGUGUUGUGUCCCCAACCCAACAGCCAGAGCCGGGCUGGAGCCCCCCAGAGCCCCCCGGCACGGGAAAGGUCCAGUGGGGACGAGCUGCUGGUGCCAUUCCCGUUUGGGGUUCCCUGUGGCUUUGGGAUGGGAGAUGGGAAUGUUUGGGGGCUGUUGUGGGAAGGGAUGGGUUUGCUUGAGGUGGUUUGGGCACAGCCAGAAGGUGCUGGGAUGGGAUUUUGGGAUUUUGGGAUUUUGGGAUGGCAUGUGAUGAGAUUUUGGCAUGGGAUGGAAUUUUGGCGUGGGAUUUGAUGGGAUUUUAGGGUGGGACAGCAGAACUCUUUGCAUUCCUGAAAAGCAGUGCCAGGCUGAAAUGACCUCCAGCAGAAAGACUGAAAAUCACUCCUGGAAGGAGGGAAGUGUGGAUUUGAUGUGGAUAUUUCUGAACAGGACACCAAGGAGGGCUCCCACAGCUCUGCCAGGUUUUCCUCCCCAGCUGGGAGCACCAGCCUGGAGCUGGGACUGGGAACAAACAUCUUGUAUCCACUAAUCCCACACUCCCCUGGACUCUUGGUCUUCCCAAAGCCAAGAAGCUCCCAGGAACUGGUGUUUUCCAGCAGGGAACAGCCUGCCCAGCUCCUGGGGCUGCUCAGGGCCAGCCCGGCAGCCGUCCAAGGGCUUUUUAUCAACUGGCACCCAAAAGUCAAUAAGGAAGAUGCCGCCUGUUUUAAUUAACAGCAAUUUCGCACUGAUGGGGGUGAGCUGAUGUGCCAGGGGGAGGGAGGGAGGCCAGAGACAAAACAUGACCUUGUUGGUGCAGCACACACAGCGGGACAUUGUUUUCCCCUCGGAGUCUGGCCUUGGAUGCUGCUGGGCACAGCUGGGUGCUGGGGACAGGGGGUCCUGCCGCCCCUGCUGGCUCUGGAGCAGUUCUGGGGGGGAGCAGGGUGCCUGGAGAACUCCAGAGCUCAGGAUGUGGCGCUGGGGAGGUGUCCUCAGGGAGUGUCGGUGGUUUAGGAUGGCACUAAAGGGUGUGGAUUUUGGGAACCCCCAGUGGCUGGGAUGCUGCAGGCCCCUGGCCAGCACGAGCGAUCCAUCAGUUUAGUCUCAUUUUCCUUUCCCCUCCGUUCUCCUAUUCCGGGAAAUCAGAGAGGAGGAGCAACCAGAGGGGGAAAUCCUCCCUGUGCGUGUGCCAGGGUGCUCAGAGAGGCAGGGUGUGACACAUGGCACAGCCUGGCCCCACGGCAGGACCUGUCCCCACGGCAGGACCUGUCCCCACGGCAGGACCCGUCCCCACGGCAGGACCUGUCCCCACGGCAGGACCUGUCCCCACGGCAGGACCUGUCCCCACGGCAGGACAUCCCAGGAAUGACGGGGCUGGGAUGAGAGGGACCCUGGAAUGAGCAAAACCCCGGGAUGAGACACCCAGGGGGGACAGGACCAUGGGGGGACAGGACUGAGGUCACCUGCACCAGGACAGUCCUGGGGGUGACAGGAAAGGGCCAAGUGGCACCAUGGGACCCUGCCAGGGGUGACAGGGAUGGGCUGAGCAGCACCCCCAGGCUGACGGGGCUGGGGGCACAGGCACUGCAGGGGGUUCGGUGAUGGGGGCAGAGGCACCCAGGGGUUUUGGGGCUGGGGGGAGCAGCACCCUAAGGGUGUCAGGAAUGAGGGGUGAUGGGCUUGGAGGCAGAGACACCCCAAAUCUGCCAAGGAUGGGGUGAGCAGCGCCCCGGGGGUGAUGAGACUCCACCCAGGGAAGGGGGUGCCCCCACUUUUGGGGGCGCACAGGCGGGCCCCCCCCCCCCCCCCCCCCCCCCCCCCCCCCCCCCCCCCCCCCCCCCCCC